CUCCCCUAGCUUUUUCUCUUCAAUCUAUAAAUAGACAUAGGCUAAGAAGUGCAUGUUCUCACUCUCGCAGCUAUGGCACAGGACCAUAACUCAGUAUUUCAACAAUUGCACUUGCCUGGAUGAAGCUUUAUCUGGCAGUAAUUCCCAUGGGCAUCUAUUUUUUGUUAAGAUUGCCUGCCUCUUGAAAUAGGGCAAACGUUCGACUUCCACACUGAGACACGAAUUACAAACAAAAAGUGGCAUACUGAAGUGAAUAGGAGCAGAGACUUUGGGGCUCAAAUGUCAAGAGUCUGAAUCCUGGCUUCAGACCAUGGACUGUGGCUUUCUGUCUCAAUAGGGUCAAUAGGGUCAUUUGUCCCACCUUGAUCUAUCUUUCUUAAUCAACUAUAUUUCCAUUGAAUUUUUGCUGUUAUACAAAACCAAACAUGUUUCUCUGUCACUGAAGAAGCUAUUUUUAUAAACCUGCAGAGUUUCGGACAACAAACUAAUAUAUCCUGGUCUUGGUAUUUCCUAGAAUGAUGUCCAAAUUUCAUCUCCGAUUAAAUAAUUUUUAACUUUUGAAACCAUUACUUCUAUCUUUAGUAUUGCAGUCCAAUUGUGAAAAAUCCAAUAAAUUCAUUUUUCCCAUAUCUCUCCUCUAGCAUGUAUUUG
rnacentral:lncRNA from 1 species